CACGUAGGGUGCGAGCGUUGUCCGGAAUUAUUGGGCGUAAAGAGCUCGUAGGCGGUGUGUCGCGUCGGCCGUGAAAACCUGCAGCUUAACUGUGGGCGUGCGGUCGAUACGGGCAUCACUGGAGUUCGGCAGGGGAGACUGGAAUUCCUGGUGUAGCGGUGAAAUGCGCAGAUAUCAGGAGGAACACCGAUGGCGAAGGCAGCUCGCUGGGACGGUAUUGACGCUGGAGACGCGAAAGCGUGGGGAGCAAACAGG
rnacentral:rRNA from 1 species